UACGGGGGGAGCAAGCGUUGUUCGGAUUUACUGGGCGUAAAGGGCGCGUAGGCGGCAGAUUAAGUCAGCUGUGAAAUCUCCGAGCUUAACUCGGAACUGUCAGCUGAUACUGUUUUGCUAGAGUGCGGAAGGGGCAAUCGGAAUUCCCAGUGUAGCGGUGAAAUGCGUAGAUAUUGGGAGGAACACCAGUGGCGAAGGCGGCUCACUGGACCGGAACUGACGCUGAGGCGCGAAAGCGUGGGGAGCAAACAGG
rnacentral:rRNA from 1 species